UUGGAGGUAGCGAUCUCUACAAUCAAGGGAGUGGCAAUUAGUUGUCAUGGUGCGGCAGCUGCAGUGAUCUCUCCUUCUUCGAAUAUUGGAUUAGAAAAAGUGGAUUUUCGAUUCGUGUGGCUAUUAGCGAUGAUUGUAUGAGAUUAUUCCUCGAGUUCCUGAGUGGCGCAGCGGUAUAAGGCACUGCAUCUCUAGUACUAGACGCGUCAUUACAGACACUGCGAUUUGAUUCCAGGCUGUGUCACAAUCGUCCGUAAUUGGGAGUCCCAUAGGGCGGCGCACAAUUUGCCCAACGUCGUCCGGGUUUGACCGGUGUAGGCCAUCAUUACCUAUUUAAUCCAGGCUGAAUCACAUCCGGCGCACAAUUGGCACAGCGUCGUCCGGGAGCGCUGUGCUAGGCAUCUGUGGGAGAAUCAUCACGCCCCGAGCAAGAGUGUGUGUGCUGCACGUGGUCGCUGGAGCGAGACACACUCCAAUGCUGAUGUUAGCCGACAUUCCCCUCAGGCCAGAGAAUGGAGCAUGCGUGGAGACAGUUGCCCCCCCCCACACACACACACACUGUGAGUCAUUAUGUAAUAGCGUUGCAUGAAAACAUAAAGGAGGAAAGAAGAGGAGAAUAAUAGAGUAUGUAAACUACAUGUUCACUCUGAUGCACAAGCACACACAUAUAUGUCCCUAGAGUGACCACUAAAGCCAAGUAUCCACUUGUUUUUGACCUAAGCCAAGCUAUAUUGAAAUUGCUCAUGAGCAUCCUGAUGAAAAUGCAGUCCAGUCCUUUUAGGGAUUUUAGGAUCUGCUUCUCAUCUUCUCAUCCUAUGAAUACUAUAACCCAGAUUUAACAUCAGACUGCCCUUCUAUCAACUGGUUAUGGCUUGUCCCAAAUGGCAUCCUAUCCACUAUAUGGGCCGGGGUCAAAAUAAGUGCACUAUGUAGGGCAGGGGUGCUCAACUCUUAACCUACGAGGUCCAGAGCCUGCUAGUUUUUUCUUCUACAUGAUAAUUAAUUGCACCCACCUGGCGUCGUAGGUCAAUAUUAGUCCCCGAUUAGAGGGCAACAAUGAAAAAACACAGUGGAACUGGCUUCGAGGUCCAGAGUUGAGUUUGAAGGAUAUAUGGAAUAGCGUGCCAUUUGGGACACAACGUACAUCACAAUGUGAAUUGGAACAGUCAUAUUUCAUGUUUAGUAGAUGGUAGAAUCGCUUAACGCGGUUACGUAACUGUUGCCCUACCUUCCUGGGCUAUGUGUAGUAUGUCAUGGAUGGAGAGGAGGUGGGGGUUAUUGUGCUCCUGCCUAUCUGGAAGCUCUUAUCAUAGGAAGCCAGGUUGUCUGCCCCACUUAGAACACUGAGAAAGGCUUUAAUUAAUAAUAAUUGAUUAUAGCUCUUUUCUACCGAGGAACUCAUAGUAAGGGGAAAACUCACCUCCUCCACCACCAAAUGUGCAGCUUCCACCUGGGUGAUGCACAGCAACCAUUUUUGUGCCAGAACAUUCACCACACAUCAGCUGAUAUAUGCCAAUUAGGAAUAAGAGGGAUGAUGGAAUGGGGAAUUUAGGCAUGACACCAGGGUUAACACCUCUACUCUUACAAUAAGUGCCAUGGGAUUUGAAUUGACCACAGAGAGUCAGGACACCCGUUUAAAGUCCCAUCUGAAAGACGUGGUGGUAUGCUGCUGGCUUACCUCUGAAGCUAAGCAGGGUCGGCUGCUUUAGUGCUGAGGAUUUAGAACAUAGGCUACCACAGUGCACAACCUUUCCCUGAAGAAUUCAAAAGUUAGUGUAGGCUAUAGGAAAAGAGGGCAUUCCUUGGCCCCCAUUGUCCCCCAGAGACCCGUGAAUGGUAUGUCAUCCUCCCAUGAAAAUAUACAGGUUGUUUGGACCGACAGAUCACUUUCCCUCACAGAUAAGUCCACAGGGCCAGUGUGUUUGGACCGACAGAUCACUUUCACUCACAGAUAAGUCCACAGGGCCAGUGUGUUUGGACCGACAGAUCACUUUCACUCACAGAUAAGUCCACAGGGCCAGUGUGUUUGGACCGACAGAUCACUUUCACUCACAGAUAAGUCCACAGGGCCAGUGUGUUUGGACCGACAGAUCACUUUCCCUCACAGAUAAGUCCACAGGGCCAGUGUGUUUGGACCGACAGAUCACUUUCACUCACAGAUAAGUCCACAGGGCCAGUGUGUUUGGACCGACAGAUCACUUUCACUCACAGAUAAGUCCACAGGGCCAGUGUGUUUGGACCGACAGAUCACUUUCCCUCACAGAUAAGUCCACAGGGCCAGUGUGUUUGGACCGACAGAUCACUUUCCCUCACAGAUAAGUCCACAGGGCCAGUGUGUUUGGACCGACAGAUCACUUUCCCUCACAGAUAAGUCCACAGGGCCAGUCUGUUUGGACCGACAGAUCACUUUCCCUCACAGAUAAGUCCACAGGGCCAGUGUAUGUGCAAGAGCCAGCGUAGCAGAUGUGUAUCCAGUCAAGAUAAAAUAGACACAGACAGCGCAAAUCAACAUGCCUGUAUCAUUUUCCCCUCUGAUUCCUUUUUUUUGUCUCAAAUCUAUCCUCUUAAUAUGCCGCCGAUAUUGUUUCAAGAUGCACUCCCUCAUCGAGAUAUGCUCCCCAUGUACAAAAAUAGUGGUUUUUAUGCUAGAUUUGCAAGAUGGGUUCAGUCUUUUUAUAUGUAGUGCUAUGUUAAACCAAGAGAGGGCAGGAGUAUACAGACACACAAACACACACCACCAAUUUCUCAAUGAUCAGUGGGGAAAUAACUCUCUCUACCUACCACAAUGAGCAUACACAUAGGUCAAGUAUGAUCUAUCCAAGCAAAACAAAUAACCAUUUGAUGAGGAUUAAUUUACUGACACAAGAGAGAAGUCACGACCGGGCUGAUGGAAACAGGAAAUGCAGGUACGAUUUUAUAAAUGUCGAGAGACAGUUUGUUUGUUAAACAUGAUGGGAUAUGUUUGUGUUGGUUAAAUUAAUUAUGUGAGAAAUGUCAGUGCACAAAUCUUUAUAUAAUAACCAUCAUAUCGAAGUCCAUUUGGGCGUCACACCAUGUUGCAUGGUCCUCCCACUACGAUUUGGGAAAGCCUGCAGUUAAUUAGGCUACACAUUGAAAAAGCAGGGGCUCAACUUUGGUUUAAGAAAUGAGGGGGACAUUAUUAUUAUUUAUUUUUUUGUCAGAUAAACACUCCAAACAGCCUACCCGACCGCUCGGAGGCAUCCGCAUGCUCCUACAGCACACCGUUGCAUCGUUCAUUUCACAAUCCAAUGAUAAAACUGUGUGUGGGGGGAGGGGGUGGAAGUUGCACCCCUGGAAAUAAGCAAUGAUGAACUUCACAGGGUUGUGAAAGUGCACAGUUAUGACUUUAAUGCUCCUUUCCAAUAAACAUUGAGGGUUUUAUUCCGGUGAUAUGAUUAUCAAUGCUUGGCUGCCAUUUGACAAAUAAAAUAAUCUCGCUCUUAUCCAUAAUAAUCUCAUCAUGUAGGUAGCCUAACCGUACCGUAUUUGCGAGCUGUUGGCUAGAGUGCACAUACUAAGACCAGAGUGGGCACAUUUGCUAUGUAACGCAACACUUUUUGUGACAAAACCAUCAGUAGA